UACGGAGGGUGCAAGCGUUAUCCGGAUUUACUGGGUUUAAAGGGUGCGCAGGCGGAUAUGUAAGUCAGUGGUGAAAUCUCCAGGCUUAACCUGGAAAUUGCCGUUGAUACUAUAUAUCUUGAAUGCUGUGGAGGUAAGCGGGAUAUGUCAUGUAGCGGUGAAAUGCUUAGAGAUGACAUAGAACACCUAUUGCGAAGGCAGCUUACUACGCAGAUAUUGACGCUCAUGCACGAAAGCGUGGGGAUCAAACAGG
rnacentral:rRNA from 1 species